rnacentral:rRNA from 1 species
CAGGCCUAACACAUGCAAGUCGAGCGAAUGGAUUAAGAGCUUGCUCUUAUGAAGUUAGCGGCGGACGGGUGAGUAACACGUGGGUAACCUACCCAUAAGACUGGGAUAACUCCGGGAAACCGGGGCUAAUACCGGAUAAUAUUUUGAACUGCAUAGUUCGAAAUUGAAAGGCGGCUUCGGCUGUCACUUAUGGAUGGACCCGCGUCGCAUUAGCUAGUUGGUGAGGUAACGGCUCACCAAGGCGACGAUGCGUAGCCGACCUGAGAGGGUGAUCGGCCACACUGGGACUGAGACACGGCCCAGACUCCUACGGGAGGCAGCAGUAGGGAAUCUUCCGCAAUGGACGAAAGUCUGACGGAGCAACGCCGCGUGAGUGAUGAAGGCUUUCGGGUCGUAAAACUCUGUUGUUAGGGAAGAACA